rnacentral:rRNA from 1 species
UACGUAGGGGGCGAGCGUUAUCCGGAAUUAUUGGGCGUAAAGAGUGCGUAGGUGGUUUUGUAAGCGCGGGGUGAAAGGCUAUGGCUCAACCAUAGUAAGCCUUGCGAACUGUGAGACUUGAGUGCAGGAGAGGAAAGUGGAAUUCCUAGUGUAGCGGUGAAAUGCGUAGAUAUUAGGAGGAACACCAGUGGCGAAGGCGACUUUCUGGACUGUUACUGACACUGAGGCACGAAAGCGUGGGGAGCAAACAGG